GUGAGGAAUAUUGGUCAAUGGGCGAGAGCCUGAACCAGCCAAGUCGCGUGAAGGAAGAAGGAUCUAUGGUUCGUAAACUUCUUUUGCAGGGGAAUAAAGUGCAGGACGUGUCCUGUUUUGUAUGUACCCUGAGAAUAAGGAUCGGCUAACUCCGUGCCAGCAGCCGCGGUAAUACGGAGGAUCCGAGCGUUAUCCGUCUUUAUUGGGUUUAAAGGGUGCGUAGGUGGUUUGAUAAGUCAGCGGUGAAAGUUUGCAGCUUAACUGUAAAAAUGCCGUUGAAACUGUCGGACUUGAGUGUAAAUGAGGUAGGCGGAAUGCGUGGUGUAGCGGUGAAAUGCAUAGAUAUCACGCAGAACUCCGAUUGCGAAGGCAGCUUACUAAGCUACAACUGACACUGAAGCACGAAAGCGUGGGGAUCAAACAGGAUUAGAUACCCGUGUAGUCC
rnacentral:rRNA from 1 species